rnacentral:rRNA from 1 species
GAUGAACGCUGGCGGCGUGCCUAAUACAUGCCAGUCGAGCGAACGGACGAGAAGCUUGCUUCUCUGAUGUUAGCGGCGGACGGGUGAGUAACACGUGGAUAACCUACCUAUAAGACUGGGAUAACUUCGGGAAACCGGAGCUAAUACCGGAUGAUAUUUUGAACCGCAUGGUUCAAAAGUGAAAGACGGUCUUUCUGUCACUUAUAGAUGGAUCCGCGCUGCAUUAGCUAGUUGGUAAGGUAACGGCUUACCAAGGCAACGAUGCAUAGCCGACCUGAGAGGGUGAUCGGCCACACUGGAACUGAGACACGGUCCAGACUCCUACGGGAGGCAGCAGUAGGGAAUCUGCCGCAAUGGGCGAAAGCCUGACGGAGCAACGCCGCGUGAGUGAUGAAGGUCCUCGGAUCGUAAAACUCUGUUAUUAGGGAAGAACAUAUGUGUAAGUAGAUGUGCACAUCUUGACGGUACCUAAUCAGAAAGCAACGGCUAACUACGUG